rnacentral:rRNA from 1 species
UUAAACGAGAAUAUCUUUAAUUUUAGAUACCCGAAGUAAGAAGAGCUAGCUGUCGAUAGUGGGGAUAAUGUAUAGUUCUGUAGUAUUAUAAUGUGGCAAAAUUAUAUUCAAAUCAACAGCUAGGGGCGACAGGCCUCCCAAUUUUUAUUUAUAACUGGAUCUAGCUGAAAAAUAUCUAGUAUUUUAAGACAAAUUUGAAAAGCUAAGCUUUCAAAUAAACAAAAAUGGGUAUUUUAGGGAAAAUUGCAGCUUAUUAAUAUAAAAGUGCCUAAUUUAACACAAAAAUAAUACUACGGAAAAAUUUUGUUUUGUAGGCUACGAUAAGUAUAAAAAUUGACUUUUUGUUUAAUUAAUGUUUAAAUUAGUAUUAACUAAAUAAAAGAAAUAAGGAACUCGGCAAACCAAUCUCUCAACUGUUUAUCAAAAACAUAGCUAGUUGAUUACAUAACUAGUUUACUCUGCCCAGUGAUUAGAUUUAAAUUAAAUGGCCGCAGUACACUGACUGUGCAAAGGUAGCAUAAUCAAUUGGCUUUUAAUUGAAGUCGGGCAUGAAAGAGUUAAUGGGGGAAAGCUGUCUUAUGGCUUUUUUUGAGAAAUUACUAAGCAAGUGCAAAUACUUGCUAACAGAAAUAAUAGACGAGAAGACCCUAUAAAUUUUCAUUAAUUGAAGCUUUGAACUUUCUCCGUUUUUGUUGGGGCAACAAGUUAACAAAAAUAAUUUUAAUAAAUCUAACUAUCCUUUUUAGAGAAAUAGAGCGAGUUUUACUAAAUAUAAUUAAAUUACUAUAGGGAUAACAGCAUAAUUUUUUAUUUAAGAUUGUGACCUCGAUGUUGGAUUAGGGACUUAUUAGAUAAGCCAUUUAAUUAAGAGGUUCUGUUCGAACCAAUACACCUACAUGAUCUGAGUUCAGACCGG